ACAGCAUCUGAACCUAAGAGACACAGCAGCACCCAGAACACACAGUAACACAGAACUUAAAGGUGGGCCAAGUUGACAACUGAAGCUUCCUAUGGCAAACCGCCUGAUGUGAAGACCCCAGGCCUGACCUCUCGAUGUUUCCACCACGUCUUAAUAACACAAAACCUGGAAAUGAGAGCAUUUAACCAGCCAGCCUUUCAGAGACAUUCCAGUCUAAACCUGGCAUUUUCCAGGAAAAGUAGAGAUUUGCUCUCUGUACUGAGACAGCUUGUGACUGCUUCCUUGUGGACAAUCGAGAAGUGAAAUGUUUUAUGUGCCUAACCGAUAAUAUAACAAAUACUUUUCAAAAUAAUUUAAUUAAAUGGGAUUUAAAAUA